UUGUGAAAUGACUUGAGAG
rnacentral:snRNA from 1 species